GAUGAAGAACGCAGCGAAAUGCGAUAAGUAAUGUGAAUUGCAGAAUUCAGUGAAUCAUCGAAUCUUUGAACGCACAUUGCGCCCGCCAGUAUUCUGGCGGGCAUGCCUGUUCGAGCGUCAUUACAACCCUCAGGCCCCCGGGCCUGGCGUUGGGGAUCGGCGGAGCCCCCCGUGGGCACACGCCGUCCCCCAAAUGCAGUGGCGGUCCCGCCGCAGCUUCCAUCGCGUAGUAGCUAACACCUCGCGACUGGAGAGCGGCGCGGCCACGCCAUAAAACACCCAACUCUUCUGAAGUUGACCUCGAAUCAGGUAGGAAUACCCGCUGAACUUAAGCAUAUCAAUAAGCGGAGGA
rnacentral:misc_RNA from 1 species